rnacentral:lncRNA from 1 species
UGAGUUUUAUCUUUUCAUUUUACAGAUUAAAUUUUUUCUUUGAAAAUGAGCAAACUUCAGUAGUUUUCACAAAUUAGAUCAAGUGGUGAUGAACUCAUAAGCUUUCGUAUGUCUAAAAAAAACUCUCUUUUUUUAACAGCUGAAUUUGCCCUUGCUCGAUGAAGAAUUUAUGAAGUUUGAGUACAUUAUCACACUUGUUCCUGGAAUAUCACUUUUUGUAGAAGUCUACUGGUUGUUUUAAUUCCCUCACAUAUAUUUCUUUUCUCUUGUUCUUUUCUAGUUUCUCACUCUGUAUUAGUUUUUGAUUGUUCUCUAUUUUCUUAUUCUUUUGUGGAUCUACUGGAGACCGUUGACUUUCUAAUACCUGAGUAAUUAUCUUCACAGGUAUUAUUUCUCUUACUGGAUUGUAGCUAUUUCUCUUAUUUUAGCUUCUGUAAUUUAAAUAUUAGCAGUAGUGUCAUUUUUUUAUUUUUAAUUUUUUAGAUUUAUUUAAUUAAGUAUUUUCUUCAUUUACAUUUCCAAUGCUAUCCCAAAAGUCCCCCAUACUCUCCUCCCUCAGUCCCCUACCCACCCACUCCCACUUCUUGGCCCUGGUGUUCCUCUGUACUGGGACAUAUAAAGUUUGCAAGACCAAUGGGCCUCUCUUUCCAGUGAUGGCCGACUAGGCCAUCUUUUGAUACAUAUGCAGCUAGAGUCAAGAGCUCUGGGGUACUGGUUAGUUCAUAAUGUUGUUCCACCUAUAGGGUUGCAGACCCCUUUAGCUCCUUGGAUACUUUCUCUAGCUCCUCCAUUGGGGGCCCUGUGAUCCAUCCAAUAUGUGAUUGUUAGCAUCUACUUCUGUGUUUUCUAGGUCCCGGCAUAGCCUCACAAAGGACAGCUAUGGCUUUCUUAUGUCUUUUCUUUUUUAAAGAUUUAUUAUUAUACAUAAGUACACUGUAGUUGUCUUCAGACACACCAGAAGAGGGUGUGUCAGAUCUCAUUACAGGUGGUUGUGAGCCACCAUGUGGUUGCUGGGAAUUGAAAUCAGGACCUCUGGAAGAGCAGUCAGUGCUCUUAACUUCUGAGCCAUCUCUCCAGCCCCUUCUUGUGCCUUUUAAUUCAUUUAUUGUCAACUGUGUAUUUUCAUAUAACUUGCUUUCAGGUUUAUGUAUUUUUUUUUCUGCUUGAUGAGUUCCAGUGCUGAUUCUCACCAUAGAUAUCUGAGGCUUAUUAACUGUGUUCAAGGUUCUGUUUGUGGGUGUGUGUGUGUGUGUGUGUGUGUGUGUGUGUGUGCGUGUGCGCGUGUGCGUGUGUGUGUUUGUGUAUGUGUGUGUGUUUUAUAAUUUAAGUCUUCACUAAAUUCUUAGUCAAAUAAUUUAUGGUUGUUGUAAUUGUUUAUUUGAUGAUGUAUCUUUGAUUUUUCGAGUUUCUUAUGCCAAUGUUUAUAAAUUUCUUAGGAUCUUUACAUCUUCCAAUAUAUUUAUAAGAUGUCUUUGGCUGGAAAGCACCUUACUUUCCACAUGGAGGUGCAAGUAUGCUGGCUAGGUGGUAUACAGCGUUUAUGACAUUGUACAGGUACAGGAGUAAAGUCUCCAUAUAGUUGUAUAGCUGCGGUUGGUGUUGACAAAGAUUGUAGAAAUCCUCAGUAAGAUCCGUAUGAGUGGUAAGAGUCAUUUAAACCUUAAGGUUCUGCUUUUGUGUACCUUUAUUCUAGUGUGGAAGUGGUAGCUGAUGUGAUCCUUGCUUGUGAAGUCACUAAUGGGGGAAAGGGGAAUUAAUGUCUGAUACGUGAUAUCCAUAAAGUCGCUAUAGAUCUGGGAACUGAAGUCUAGACUAAUAUGGCUCUGAGAUAUGAAGAAGCAAUGGUACUCGUAUCUGAAACACAGACAACUGAGUUGACAACUGGAUGUGAGCUUCAGGCAUUUAUAAAGCAGUAGAGCUGUUGAGUAUAGGAACAAUGGGAUUUGCACAGCUAUAAUGCCUCUAGGGUGGUGGCGGGAUCUAUGUCUCAAGUAUGCCGAGAGAACUGGGCUGUGGGGCCCAGCAUGUGAACUAGUUCAUUCUGGCAGUGGCUUUCACCUGGUGCAUGCACUAUAACCUUAUAUACAGUCCAUCUUGAAUGUGGGCUGGCUCUUCACGGCAGCUGAGAUAAUGUUUGGAACAUGUACACACACAGAGUCCUUGGCUACAGAAAUGUGCCAGUAGCUGUGAUGUCUUUGGUGUGGAACCAAAGUACAAUUGUCUUGGAGCCAUGGUCCAGAGUAAUGACUAGCUCUCCAUAGUACUCUCGGUAUACCAAGUGAAGGCACACAUACACAGAGACCUAGGCUCCUGGGCCCAAGGUGUGAACAAACGUAUGGUGGUGUUGGUUGUAAUGUAUGGCACAUGAAUGAACACAGUGCAGACUCAGAUCCACAGUAUGGGCCUUUGCUGGGGACAGUGUACCAUGACAUGGAUGGUGCCUGGGACCCUGAGAAGCAGGAGACACAUCCCUCCAGGGGACCUGCCAUCAGAAAUAAGGAACUGCCUGCAACAAGCCUGGAUGGAGACAUUUCAGAAGCCCACAGGCAGCUCAUUUGUAAAAAAGUAGUUCCCAUUUCAUCUGACCUUAGCCAUGGACAACGACUGUAGUGAUUUCAUUUGUACAUGACUGCUUUUUAGUUGGCCUUGGUGUGCAUAAUUAUUCUACUACAUCCGACUUUCCUAUUUCUUUCUCCUUCUGCUCUGGUGAAUUCUGUGUCACUAGAUGUUCCUGGAUGUAAUGAUUGAGGCAUAGGGGCACAGCACAGCACAGCAUAGUUCUAGAGGCCCAGGUGCAUAGUGUGCACUUUCAUUUUUUGAAACAAUGCAAUAGCUGCACAAUGGUAGUUUUGGAUUAAUGUUUGACUUGCAAAGAAAGUUUGAAGAAAUUAUGAAAAUGAAACAGAACCUGAAAUGCUUUAUACAGGCAAAUAUGCACAGACAUGUAUACAUUCAAACAUUUGUACACCCACACUGGCCUGGCCCAACCAUCUGUCACAAUCAAAUCCACAAGUAUUCAUGCUAGAGUUAUACAGGGUCCAUUACUAGAAAGUAAAGACAAUUACUGGAAGUAUGAAAAAUCAUUAGUAUGAGACACAAUCAUGGAAUAAGGGGAAAAUGGAAUAAGGAAACACAAACAUGGGAUACUUUAAUUCAGAAAGGAAAAAGCUAUUGAAGUUAUAAAAUGAGUUUUGCACAAUAUUUGAGAGUGGUUCCUGGUCUGCUUUGGAUAUGCAUGGAUAUGCAAGCAAAGAUUAAACUCCUGAAAGAAGAUAUAGAAUGCGUAAAAUGAUAUACUAGAAAAACUCAUUUAAAACCCUGGGACUCUUAGGACAGGCAGUGUGUGCAACGUGUAGAAGCAGAAGCUAGGGGAGCUGCUGAGUUAAGGGGUAACCUGAGUCUUCGGACCACUGCCUGGCAGCUUUGCAGGGAAUCGCAUGUAGCUGACCUCAGCGCUCCGAGCGCUGAUAUAACGAGUUAAAAGUUAAAAUAAUGAUAAGCUUGCAAUUAUUCAUUUGGCCAUGGGCCUGGGAAGAGGGGAAGCUUGAAACUUUGGGGAACAAUGGUAAUUCUUAAUUCUUUGUGAGAUGUGAUCAUUCUUUUGAAUUUGACACAUUUGAUAAUAAUUAUACAAUGUCUCUUUCUACCUGCUUUUUGGAGGAACAAGAAAAGGCUGAGGCAAGUUAAAGGUGAGGGAGUGUGUGUGUGUGAGAGAGAGAGAAGGGGGGGAGAGAGAGGGAGAGAGAGAGAGAGAGAGAGAGAGAGAGAGAGAGAGAGAGAGAGAGAAAGAGAGCACACGCAUGGAGGUGUGUGUGUGCAGUAUGUGUGAGUGCAAGAAAGGGAGCACUUGAGAGAACACACCCUCCAGCCUGAGGAUGGAGCUUAAGUACGAGAGAGAGAGAGAAAGAGAGAGAGAGAGAGAGAGAGAGAGAGAGAGAGAGAGAGAGAAAGAGAGAGAGAGAGAGAGAGAGAGAGAGAGACCUCGAAACUUGAAACUUGCCUGUCAGCUUGUACCCAAAAAAGUUGCCCCUGUGUUUUCUUAAGCGCCUUCCAGAUAUCCCUGCUUCCAGGGAGUUCCAGUUGAGAACUCCAAUCCUGUGUGAAGGCUGGACCCCAUCAGGCCUUCAUUUAAAAACAACAACAACAACAACAACAACAACAAAACCUCAUCUGAGAGGUCAAGAGAACAUGUGUGUUGGAGGUGGUGGCUGCUGUGGCACUGAUGAAGCUGAACACUGGCUGCUUUUUUACUAGCUCUCCAUCUCCUGGACAAUAUUGAUAGCCUGUGUUUCCUUUGUUCUUAACCCUUUCCACCCAGGGAAUGAGUUGCAGCUGUGACGGGAACGCAAACUCCUAAGGAAUACGGUAGCUCUCAUCUCCUGUACAAUAUUGAUAGCCUGGGUUUCUCUGCUUUUGUUUUUCUCUACCGUGUUGAUGCAGAUUGUCAAACAGGGCUUUGAGUCUUUCAGAGUUACUUUGAUCUGUGGAUAACUUGUUUAUGUAUUUCUUCAUGGGAGAAUAAAGGCUGAUAUGUCCUGUAUAACCUUGAUCUUUCGGUAAAUAGUUUCCCCUACUUUAGUUAUACUCGAUCAUGUCUACCAUGUCCACUAAAAUACUCACAUACACUUAAAGAUCAUUAUUAUUAUUUUCUAGGACAUAAUAUCCUCCAUUCUGUUUUGUUUGGCCUACCUAUUUCUGCCAUUGGUCUCAGAGAGAGAGAGAGACAGACAGACAGACAGACAGACAGAGAGACAGAGGCAGACAGACAGAGAGAAACAGAAGCAGAGGUGGGGUGACAGUGUAAGGAAGAAAGGAAGGGAGAGAGGAAAGAAGGAAGGAAAAUAAAAUACUUCCUCUUACACCUCAUCUUCUCCUCAUGUUCACACAAACUUGUUUAUCUAGAAUAAAAGGCAGAUAUUGGUCCAAAAUUUCAAAUCCAGGUGGACAUUCAAGAAAAAAAAUCAUGGUGCUCUAAAACAGAAAGUUUCCACCCAGUCCUGAGCUGUGUGGAAACUAAAAUCCCCAAAUCUCCUUCUUUGUGUCCAACUGUCCCCAUUCUCCUUGUGUCAGUUACUGUCAUUAUCUCUAAGACCAGAAUAGACAACUUAAGGGAGGACUCACUUUGACUCAUGGGAUCAAAAGGUUCAUCUCAUAGUCUCUUGACCCCAUUUACUUGGGAAGUCUAUCAUGGUGGUACGUCUGGAGCUGUCAUUAGGAGAAGCUAAAAACUAGCAGGUUAUCCUCCUGAGUGAGAUGGAUCCAUCUUGGAUUUAAAAUCUAUGAUGGAUUUGCUCCAGUAGGCAAAACCCAGGAGGUCCAUUUUAGUGAAGAUUCUGCUAGCAAUAUGUUUUUCCUGUUAGUAAUAGCCCACCCUUUUGAGCAGAUCUCUGCAGAACUACAAAGAUAUACUAUCUUGUAGUGAUGUUAUAUAGACAAUUGAGAUAAUUCUUUAGAAUUCACGAUUUGAUUCAAAUAAUUUUAGGAAGAAAGGUUUUAGAGGUGGUCUUAGUUACUAGAAAGAUAUAAUAAAGUCAGAAUUAAGAAUAGAAUGUGCCCAUUCCUCAGAAUGGUAAGAAGAGGCUGUAUAAUAAAAAAUACAAUGUGCUUUCAUAAUCACACUAAAAAGAGAAAUAGACUUGGGACAAUUCUGUGUUCAAGGAAAAACAUCUAGGUCCAAGGAUAAAGUCACAGGUGUGCAAAUGACAAGGCAAGGCCAUGUAAAAAGCUGUUGCUAUGAAUUUAUAGUGAGUAUAUUAUAGUGAAACACUGCUUUGAAUUUAUUAUCAACAUCCUCUGUAACUCCCAUUUUAUCUCUGAGGUAAUUUUUUUGUUUUGUUUUUGAGGCAGGGUUUCUCUGUGUAGAUUUGGCUGUCCUGGAACUCACUCUGUAGACCAGGCUGGCCACAAACUCAGAAAUCUGCCUGUCUCUGCCUCCCAAGUGCUGGGAGUCAAGGCGUGCGCCACCACUGCCCGUCCUGAAGUAAUUUUCUAAAAAACUUUUUGCCUAAGAAGGUAUAAAAAGACAAGAGAAAAGGAAUAAAGUUGUUGAUUGAAUGGUUUGCCUUGGAGAGCUUUGCCCCAUCCAUCCAUCCAUCCAAAUGUGUAUGUUUGUUUGUCUAUAUGUACGUAUGUAAUUAUAUUUGUAUGAUUGUAAGCAUGCAUGAAUACUUGUGGAUUUGAUUGUGACAAAUGGUUGGGCCAGGCCAGUGUGGGUGUACAAAUGUUUGAAUGUAUACAUGUCUGUGCAUAUUUGCCUGUAUAAAGCAUUUCAGUUCUUUUCCUUACCUUCCUUUCUGGUUCACAAAGAGUUAACCAGCUUAGCCAGAGAGGCUUCUGGCUUAUUCACCCAAGAAAGGAGCAGCAACAGUAAAUCUUUUCACUUAAUCCCCUGCUGUUUUAUGAUGAGAUGCUAAACAGUUUCUCAAUGCAGAGGAACUCAUAGAAGGCAGGUAAUGUACUGAAGCUUAGUGACUUAGACUUAAGACAGGUAGACAUUUUAUUAUUAUACAGCAAUCCUAAAUAUCUCUCUAAGACCAAGUCGUACCCCUCCAAAGCUCUUCCCCCUCCAGAACCUCAAGAAGAACCAAACAAGAAAGAAUGUUGAACAUGUGACAUAAAGAAUUCUUUGGUAACACACACAAAAAAAGGGACACCAGUGUGUCAGGGAUCCUACACCCCCAAAUUUCCAUUUACAUAUUUUUCUCCUAGUCAGUGCUUUCAGGAUAUCUGACAUUUUGGAGUUUGGAGCGUUCCAGUAUAUUAAUUUAAAAUUUUUAUUUAGUUUUACGUGUAUGGGUGUUUUGCCCACAUAUAUAUCUGCAACGUGUGUGUGCACUGCCUAUGGAGGCCAGUAGUGACUACUGGGUCCCUGGGAUUAAAGACUGUUGGAUCAUGUGGAUACUGGGAAGUGACUCGGGGUCCUUUGGAAGAAGAGCAAGUGCUCUUAACCACUAAACUAUCUAGCACCUCAAUUUAUUCAUUUAUUUGCUUUUAUGUUUAUUAAUGGAUUCAACUAUGAAUUGUGAUUUUGGUAUCCCAUCUAUAAAUUGUCACCUAACUGAAAAACACAGAUGUUUACUAUGUUUUAUGUUAGAAGUUUUACAGAUUUAGGUUUUAGAUUUUUAUCUAUAAUACAUUUUAAGUUGACUCUGGCAUAUGGUAUAAUAGAUGAAAUACAGUUCCUAUUUGUGUACGUAAAUAUCAAGUCCUAGUAUAGCAUAUGGAAAUGACUAUCCUUUAUGACUGAACUUAGUUUACACCUUUGUCAGAAAAUAAAUCCUGUUAUUUUCCUGUUUUUGAGCCCACUCUGCAUUGCCUGAUAACUGACUCUACUGUUUGGAUUGUGGUAGGUUGUACGAAGGCUUGAAAUCAAAUAUUCUUUGGUCUUCAACUUAAUUGUUUUUCAAAAGUAGCUUUGUAGUUCAGGCCCUUUGUAUUUUCACAUGAACUUUACAAUAAACAUGUCAAUUUCUGAUAUAAGAAACCAUAAAUUAUUGUUGGAGUUGAAGUGAAUAGAUUAAUCAGUUUGAAGAGACCACAUCAGGAUGAAAUUAAACGUCCUAAAUCAUUAAAAUACUUUAUACAUUUAAUUACUCAGAUCUUCUUUACAUUUUCUUAGCAAAGUUUUAUGGUGUUUAAUGUAUAGAUGUUGCUCAUCUAAGGAAGGAUUAUUUCUCAAUAUUUCAUGUUUUCUGGAGAUUUAUAAAUGCCAGUAUAUUGAAAUAACAUUUUGCAUUUUUAUUGAGCUGUUACCAAACAAAUGUUUAAGCAGUAGUUGCUGACUGAGACCUCAUUCUAGGAUGAAAACGGUAUGUGAUGGCUGAUUGGUGUGUGUGUGUGUGUGUGUGUGUGUGUGUGUGUGUGAGUUUUUAUGUAAUAUCUGUGUGUGUGUGAGAGAGGGGCAUGGAAGGAAGGAGGGAAAGAGGGAGGAAGAGGGAAACCGAGACAGAGACGGAAAGCAUGUCUGUUGGCUUAGAGUUUCUACUGAAGUGAUGAAACACCAUGACCAAAGCAAGCUGAGAAGGAGACUGUUGACUUGACUUAUGCUUCUAUGGCAUCAAAGGAAAUCAGGACAAGAACCCAAACAAGGCAGGAACCUGGAAGCAGGAGUUGAUGCAGAAGGGGAGGGCUGCAGCUGACUGCUGUGCUCUUCAUGCUUUGCUCAGCCUGCUUUCUCACAGAACCCAAGACCACUAGCCUAGAAUUGACACCGUCCACUGGUGUCAUUGCAUGAGCUUCCCAAUUGGCUGAGCCUUUCCUAGUAAUCGAUUAACGCUAAUUAAGAAAAUGUCCUACAACUUGAUCUUAUGGAGGCAUUUUCUCAGUUGAGGUUCCCUCCUUUCAUUUGACUCUAGCUUGUGCCAAGUCAGAAGACAACUUUGAGGAUCCCAUGGGAUCUGUAAAUCAUCCUUAAUUCAGUAGGCUUGUGCAACAAGUAUUUUUACAUGUUCAGCCAUCUCAUUUGUCUGACUUUUCCGUCUUUUGGAAGUGAUUGGGAAAUAUGCUGAAACAAGAGGGAUAUAUAUUAGAGACAAGUCUACAUGUCAUCGCCAGAAAAGAAAAAAAUAUCAGUAAAUAGUUAAGGAGUUUUUAAUUUACAUGUUCCCAUUUUAAAUAAGAUUUUAUGGUUCCUUUAUGUCUAGUUUGUUGAGUUCUUUAUUGAUUUUUUGGGUAUUACUCCUCUGUCAAGAUGUAAGGUUGGUGAAAAUCUUUUCCCAUUUUGUAUGUUGCUGUUUUGUCCUAUUGAUGGUGUCUUUUGGCUUACAGAAGCUUUUUAGUGUCCUGAAAUUACAUUUAUUAAUUGUUGCUCUUAGUGCCUGUGCUGUUGGUGUUCUGUUCAGGAAGUUGUCUCCUUUGUCAAUGCAUUCAAGGCUAUUGCCCACUUUCUCUUUGGUUAGAUUCAGUGUAUCUGGCUGUAUGUAGAGGUUUUUUAUCCACUUGGACAUGAAUUUUGUGGAAGGCAAUAGAGAUGGGUCAAUUUUCAUUCUUUUACAUGCAGAUCACCAGUUAGACCAGCAAGCACCAUUUGUUGAAGAUGCUUUCCUUUUUGCAUUGUAUGGUUCUGAUUUCUUUGUCAAAAAUCUAGUGUCCAUAGGUGUGUAGGUUUAUUUCUGGGUCUAUUUGAUUCCAUUGUUUAAUGUGUCUGUUGUCUUUAUGUCAAUAUCAUGCAGUUUUUAUUCCUAUAGCUCUGAGGUACAGCUUGAAAUCAGGGAUGGUGAUACCUCCAGAAGUUCUUUUAUUGUACAGGAUUGGUUUUAGCUACCCUGGGUUUUUUGUUUUUCCAUGUAAAACUGAGUGUUUUCCUUUCAAGGUUUGAAAGAAUUGGCUGGAAUUUUGGUGGGGAUUGUGUUGAAUUUGUAGAUUGCUUCUAGUAGGAUAGCCAUUUUUGUUAUGUUCGUCCUGUGAAGAUUUAAACAAAGAAUACUCAAUAGAGGAAUCUCAGACGGCUGAGAAACACUUAUAGAAAUGUUCAACAUCCUUAGCCAUCAGGGAAAUGCCAAUCCAAAAAGCUUUGAGAUUCCAUUUUAUAUCUGUCUUUAUGGGUAAUGACAAAAGCACAACAACAUAAAUGACAUUAAUAAUACAAGUGAAAGCUCAUGGUGGUGAAGAUUGGAGCAAGGGGAAUACUCCUCCAUUGCUGGUGGGAGUGUAAACUUAUAUAGCCACUGUGGAAGUCAGUAUGGUGGUUCCUCAGAAAGUUAAGACUCGAUCUACCUCAAAAUCCAGCUACACCAUUCUUGGACAUCUGCCUAAAGGAUGCUCCACUAUACCACAAGUAUAGUUGUUCAUAUUUAUACUGGCUUUAUUCAUUGUAGCCAGAAACUGAAAACAACCUAGAUGUCCCUCAACAGAAGAAUGGAUAAAGAAAAUGUGUUCAUCUACACAAUACACAAUGUAUUAUUCAGCUGUUAGGAAAAAAAAGUUACAUAAUGAAAUAUGUAGGCGAAUUGAAGGAACUAGAAAAAAAAAUCAUCCUGAGCAAGGCACCCCAUACUCAGAAAGACAAGCAUGAUAUGUACUCACUUAUGUGGAUAUUCGCUGGUAUAGUGGUUUGAAUAUGCUUAGCCUUUGGUAGUGGGCAAUGAGAUCCUCCUCCUCCUCGCUGCUUGGAAGACAGUGUCUCCUACUUGCCUUCUAAUCAAGAUGUAGAAAUCUCAGCUCCUUCUCUCGCACAUGUCUGCCUGCAUGCUGCCAUGCAUCCCACCAUGAUGAUAAUGGACUGAACCUCUGAAAGUGUAAGCCUGCCCCAAUUCAAUGUUUAUCUUUAUAUAUGUUGCCUUGGUUAUGGUGUCUCUUCACAGCAAUGGAGAUCCUAACUAAGACAGCUAGUAAGUAAAAGAUGUUUGUAUUGCAAUUCACAGACCUCGAGAAGUUAGGUAAAGAGGAGAGGUCUAUGAGGCACAUGCGGAACUCCUUGGGAAGGGGAAAUAGAAUAGAUUUGGGGGGUGCCCUGGGGGUGGUUGGGGAUGGGAACAGGAGGGAACAGGUCGGGGAAAGGGAGGGACAGAGGGAGAGAGUAUGAAGAGGAAACCUAGCACAGUACAGACUUCCUGGAACCUAUGAGGGUGACCCUAGUAAUGGAGGAUAUGGAGCCUGAACCGGCCAUCUUCUGUAACCAGGGUAGUUACUCAAUGGUGUGACUGGAACAUGACCCCUGCCACAAAACCUGUGACCUACAGUUUGUUCUGCCUAUAUGAUGUGCUGGAAUAAAAGUGGCACAGAACUUGUUGGUAUGGCCACCAACUGACUAGUCCAACUUAAGACUCACAUCAUGAGAGGGAGUCCAUGCCAGACACUGCCUGGAUAGCCAGGAUCUGGAAGCUGGAUGGCUCAGACACCUAGGGUAGAACCAAACACAACUGACAUCACCACCACCACCACUAUUAUAUUAUACUGUCCUCGUAGAUCAGUGUCUAACCCAAUUGUCAUCAGACAGAAUUCCUCCAGCUGCUGAUGGGAACAGACACAGAGACCCACAGCCAAAUAUUAGAGCUCUGGAACCCUGAAGAAGAGGGGAGAGAAAGGAUUGUAGGGGCCAUAGAAGUCGAGGACACCAGGAGAACACAGCCCACAGAAUCAACUAAGAAGGGCUCAUAGAGGCUCACAGAGACUGAAGCGAAAAUCAUGGAGCCAGCAUAGGUGUGCUGCUGGGCCCUCUGCAUCCUGGCUGUGGUUAUUUAGUUUGGGGAUUUUGUUGAACUCCUAACAGGAGGAAUGGGGGGUGCCUCUGACUCUUGCCUACUGAUGGGGCCCUUUUCCUUCUACUGGGUUGCUUCUUCCAGCCUUUAUGUGAGGGUUUGUGCCUAGUCUUAUUGCAUCUUGUUCUGCUGUGUUCUGACGAUACCACUGGGAGAACUGCUCUUUCCUGAAGGAAGCCGGAGGAGCAUUUGUAGGGGAACUUGGAGGAGGGAGGGGAAGAGAGGCUGACGUAUGAGAGAAGAAUAAGGGAAGGGAAAAGGGAAAAGUUAAAUAUAGCCAUAAUGGAAUCUGUUGAAUUAUGGGAUUUUUCUUUAUUAACACACUUCCAAUACCUG